UUCCGGUUGAUCCUGCCAGACCUGACUGCUAUCGGAUUGAUACUAAGCCAUGCGAGUCAUUGUAGCAAUACAAGGCAGACGGCUCAGUAACGCGUAGUCAACCUACCCUAUGGACGGGAAUAACCUCGGGAAACUGAGAAUAAUGCCCGAUAGAACAUUAUGCCUGGAAUGGUUUAUGUUCCAAAUGAUUUAUCGCCGUAGGAUGGGACUGCGGCCUAUCAGUUUGUUGGUGAGGUAAUGGCCCACCAAGACUAUUACAAGUACGGGCUCUGAGAGGAGUGGCCCGGAGAUGGGUACUGAGACACGGACCCAGGCCCUAUGGGGCGCAGCAGGCGAGAAAACUUUGCAAUGUGCGAAAGCACGACAAGGUUAAUCCGAGUGGUUUCUGCUAAAGGAACCUUUUGACAGUCCUAGAAACACUGUUGAAUAAGGGGUGGGCAAGUUCUGGUGUCAGCCGCCGCGGUAAAACCAGCACCUCAAGUGGUCAGGAUGAUUAUUGGGCCUAAAGCAUCCGUAGCCGGCUCUGUAAGUUUUCGGUUAAAUCUAUACGCUCAACGUAUAGGCUGCCGGGAAUACUGCAGAGCUAGGGAGUGGGAGAGGUAGACGGUACUCGGUAGGAAGGGGUAAAAUCCUUUGAUCUAUUGAUGACCACCUGUGGCGAAGGCGGUCUACCAGAACACGUCCGACGGUGAGGGAUGAAAGCUGGGGGAGCAAACCGGAUUAGAUACCCGGGUAGUCCCAGCUGUAAACUAUGCAAACUCAGUGAUGCAUUGGCUUGUGGCCAAUGCAGUGCUGCAGGGAAGCCGUUAAGUUUGCCGCCUGGGAAGUACGUACGCAAGUAUGAAACUUAAAGGAAUUGGCGGGGGAGCACCACAAGGGGUGAAGCCUGCGGUUCAAUUGGAGUCAACGCCGGA
rnacentral:rRNA from 2 species